CGCUGAUGGACGGUGUCCGGCGAGGUCCACUUUCUGGCUCACCGAUUGCACCGUCUUGCUGGGUCAUCACACAGCAGAGGUGGGGAGGCAGCUUGCUGAAGUCAUUUUUAUAAAAACACUAAUUCCAUUCUAAUGGCUUCCCAAAGGCCCGGCUCCUGAUGCUUGGGGUUUAGGAUUUCAACAAUGGAAUCUUCCGGGACAGAGACAUCAAGAUUCAGUUUGCAGCAUCCACUAGACAAUUCUUCAAUUACUCUACAGAUCUUCCUUUCUGGGUCACAGAGAGCAUGUUCAUUGCCUUCAAGAUGCUUAUCCUCAGUCAGUGGUUGCCACGAGCCAGGGUGGAGGGAGAGACAACAAAGAGACGGAACACUCCUUUGUGUGAGCACUGAAGACUGUGAGUGCGGCACCCGAUGGAGCAAAGCAACUUUUUCACCUUUGAUUCCCCAGCAUCUUCAGCAGUUGGGUGGAGGAAAUCUAGUCUCAUGGCAGCCUGGAAGCAGCGGGAAAGAGAGAAGGAAGAAGUAACCUGCCUUGUCCAAUUAGAUUCAACAUCCUAGCAGCACCUUCAACUCUCAUGAGUCCAGCCUCCCAUGACGGGGUCACCUUCCCAAGCC
rnacentral:lncRNA from 1 species